AUUGAACGCUGGCGGCAGGCCUAACACAUGCAAGUCGAACGAGUGGCGGACGGGUGAGUAUUGUCUGGACACCUGCCUGAUGUAGGGGUAUAACUACUGUAAACGGUAGCUAAUACCGCAUACCAUGAGUUGUGCCCAGAUUGGUUGAUGUUGUUGGUGGGGUAACGGCUCACAAAGGCGAAGAUCCCUAGCUGGUCUGCGAGGAUGAUCAGCCACAUGGGAACUGAUACACGGUCCAGACUCCUACGUGAGGCAGCAGUGGGGAAUAUUGCACAAUGGGCGCGAGCCUGACGCAGCCAUGCCGAGUGUAUGAAGAAGGCUUUCGGGUUGGAAAGUACUUUUAGCGGGGAGGCGGUACCCGCAGAAGAAGCACCGGCUAACUCCGUGCCAGCAGCCGCGGUAAUUC
rnacentral:rRNA from 1 species